rnacentral:rRNA from 1 species
UACGGAGGGUGCAAGCGUUAUCCGGAUUCACUGGGUUUAAAGGGUGCGUAGGUGGGCAAGUAAGUCAGUGGUGAAAUCUCCGGGCUUAACCCGGAAACUGCCAUUGAUACUAUUUGUCUUGAAUACUGUGGAGGUCAGCGGAAUAUGUCAUGUAGCGGUGAAAUGCUUAGAUAUGACAUAGAACACCAAUUGCGAAGGCAGCUGGCUAGACCUGGAUUGACGCUGAGGCACGAAAGCGUGGGGAGCGAACAGG